ACUCUCAGCAACGGAUAUCUUGGCUCCUGCAACGAUGAAGAACGCAGCGAAAUGCGAUACGUAGUGUGAAUUGCAGAAUUCCGCGAAUCAUCGAGUUUUUGAACGCAAGUUGCGCCCGAGGCUUGUCCGAGGGCAUUUCCGCUAGAGCGUCA
rnacentral:rRNA from 5 species